CUCUCCGCUUUGCACCGGGAGGAAGGAGCCGGAAUGCUCCGCGCCCGCGGACCAGUGUGAGGAAUGUUCAAUGGAAAGAGGGGCUGUGGAGUAUCUUCUGAAGUUCUCGAAUCUGAUUCAGCUCACACAAAGUGCUCUGCUGAUGGAGACUUGCUUAAAAGACCUUUUGUGAAGAUCCAUGAAGGAAGACAGAGCACUGAGGCUGGACCUGGAGCACAAUGUUUGUGCUCACUCACUGCAUGGCAUGGCUGGGCCUUUGCCUGUUCCCUUGGGUUUUGGGUUUGCUCCCAGUCAUAGAGCAUCCAAGGAAAACCCGAGCUUCUACCUUCAUAUCACUUCAGUGAAAUCAUGCAUACAAAGUCUGGAAUGACAAAAAGCAUAAGGACAUAAUUUUUUGCACAAAAAGAUAUAAUAAUAAUAACAAACAAAACACUCUCCUUCCUCCUUCCUGUGAUUCUGAGUAGACAGUUUGAAUCAACGAGAUGUGCUUGGACUCCAAGGAGUGGGAACAUCCUACUGGUGAAGCUGGAGUGAGGCUGGCCGGGCAGCCCCCUGUGCUUCCAGCAUCCCCACACCCAGAGCGGCUGUAACCCCAACCCGCAGGCUGGGCAGGGCCCUCGGGGACAUUAAUAACCCGGGGGAAGGGUUCUGCUGCUCUGGCCAGAACAGGCAUCGUCGCCCACCGAGCCCCACGCCAGUCGGAGGGGUCAAGCUAAUGCUGACACUGGGCCCUUUGAUUGUGCUUGAUUCAUGUGCGUACAGCACCGGUAGGUCAGAUGGGCCGUUAAUCCCUCAGUUCCCUGCCCCCUUCCCCAGGAAAGAAAAGGAAAAUGAGAAAUAAGUGUAGUGGGUGACUUCCCAGCUCACUUCAAGGCUUGUGAUGUGAGCUGCCUGCAAGGUCUGGGUGGGUAGGAAUGAGUGCUUUUCCUCUGUGCUUUGGGGGUUACUGUUUUUUUAUUAUUGCUGUUUUUCUGUUUGUUUUGUUUUGUUUUGGGUUGUGGGGUAUUUUUUGUUGUUGUUUUUGUUGUUGUUGGGUUUUUAUUUUGUUAACGCGGGAGGAAGGAAGUGGAGCUGUGAGCAUCGAACCAAGGCUGCUGAUGCUGCUCUGGGCUGGGUAGCAGCUGUCCAGCCCUGAGGGGGCCCAGGAGUGCCCUGGGAUGCACAGAAAGCGAACUUCUAUUAAAUGGUCUAUUUAAUUUU
rnacentral:lncRNA from 7 species